rnacentral:rRNA from 1 species
GAUGAACGCUGGCGGCGUGCCUAAUACAUGCAAGUCGAGCGAACAGACGAGGAGCCUGCUCCUUUGACGUUAGCGGCGGACGGGUGAGUAACACGUGGGUAACCUACCUAUAAGACUGGGAUAACUUCGGGAAACCGGAGCUAAUACCGGAUAAUAUUUCGAACCGCAUGGUUCGAUAGUGAAAGAUGGCUUUGCUAUCACUUAUAGAUGGACCUGCGCCGUAUUAGCUAGUUGGUAAGGUAACGGCUUACCGAGGCAACGAUACGUAGCCGACCUGAGAGGGUGAUCGGCCACACUGGAACUGAGACACGGUCCAGACUCCUACGGGAGGCAGCAGUAGGGAAUCUUCCGCAAUGGGCGAAAGCCUGACGGAGCAACGCCGCGUGAGUGAUGAAGGUCUUCGGAUCGUAAAACUCUGUUAUUAGGGAAGAAUAAACGUGUAAGUAACUGUGCACGUCUUGACGGUACCUAAUCAGAAAGCCACGGCUAACUACGUG